GCUGAACGGAGCUGCAGCCACCUUGGCACUAUGGUGGAAUUUGCCGUGGCCCUGGGGUCUAAGCUGGACGUCAUCAACAAGCAUUCAUUCAACAACUUCCGCCUGCGAGUGGGUGAGAGACUUCCCCUGCUGCAGCAGUCUGGUACCUCCUCACCUUCCUGAGCUUGCCCCACUCCAAGUCCUUUGUUAGCUGCUCCCAGUUCAUCCUGAAGCCCCUUUCCUGACUCACUCCCUGGGAUGGGGUGUGAAGGUGCUGGGCAAGGAGGUACGAGGCUCUCCCACUCUUUUUCUUAAGCUACAUUCCUCCAGCCCUUAGAGACCCCUCCUCUCCUCUAGGGCCCCCCAGGCUCUUCUCCCUUCCUUCCAGUUCCUUGUGGCUUCCUCUUCCCCUCUUCCUUCUCCAAGUCUGUCAUUACCACAUCCCUCAUUAGGGUUGAACCAUGGACCCGUAGUAGCUGGAGUUAUUGGGGCCCAGAAGCCGCAAUAUGACAUUUGGGGCAACACAGUGAACGUGGCCAGCCGCAUGGAGAGUACAGGAGUCCUUGGCAAAAUCCAAGUGAGGGAACCACAUUGGAGGCAUAGGGGGAGGGGGACUAAGAAUAGGGCCACCUCCAUAUUCCCUCGCCCCCCUCCAAUUGUAGGUGACUGAGGAGACAGCAUGGGCCCUACAGUCCCUGGGCUACACCUGCUACAGCCGGGGUGUCAUCAAGGUGAAAGGCAAAGGGCAGCUCUGCACCUACUUCCUGAACACAGACUUGACACGAACUGGACCUCCUUCAGCUACCCUAGGCUGAGAUUGCACUCGCCUUCUAAGAACCUCAAUAAAGAGACUCUGGGGUGUCUGGA
rnacentral:lncRNA from 1 species